CAUCCACUUUACACAGCUCAGAUUUAACAACCUGCAGAAAAGCUUUGGAAUGGAUUGACAUGUUAUUAAUGAU